UGCCCGCCGGCCGCUCGCAGCGCGGAGGUGCCGCGGGCGGGUGCCGGAGCGGCGGCGCCAGCGCCAUGAGCGGCGGCCCCGGCGAGCGGGAGGGCGGCCCCGGCGAGCCCGGCCUGCCCGAGGAGGAGGUGAGGACCCUCUUCGUCAGCGGCCUGCCCCUGGACAUCAAGCCCCGGGAGCUCUACCUGCUCUUCAGGCCCUUCAAGGGCUACGAGGGCUCGCUCAUAAAGCUCACCUCGAAGCAGCCCGUGGGGUUCGUCAGCUUCGACAGCCGCUCGGAGGCCGAGGCUGCCAAGAACGCGCUGAACGGCAUCCGCUUCGACCCCGAGAUCCCCCAGACGCUGCGGCUGGAGUUCGCCAAGGCCAACACCAAGAUGGCCAAGAGCAAGCUGGUGGGCACCCCCAACCCCAGCACACCCCUCCCCAACGCCGUACCUCAGUUCAUCGCCAGAGAGCCCUACGAGCUCACAGUGCCUGCACUUUACCCCAGUAGCCCUGAAGUGUGGGGGCCGUACCCCCUGUACCCGGCGGAGUUAGCGCCCGCUCUACCUCCUCCUGCUUUCACCUACCCCGCUUCGCUGCACGCCCAGAUGCGCUGGCUCCCUCCCUCCGAGGCUGGUUCUCAGGGCUGGAAGUCCCGUCAGUUCUGCUGAAUGCCAUGUCUCAGGUGUGUGAUGGCGGCCGACAGUCAGUCUUGUGGGUAUGAACGGAGCCUGCCGCCGCGGCUGCUGGGCGCGCGCUCUCCACAAAACCGCAGUGUGCUGGCUUGAAAAAAGAAAAACAAAACAAAACAAACCUCGCACAAGUUUGGAUUCCUCCAAGACUUUCCCACAGCCUCUAUCACACAUCUGCUCUCCUAGAAGAAAGCGAAAAGCAUACCUAGUAAUAAUAUUUCCCUCUUUUACACUGUAUAUUUGUAAGAAGGAGUGUGUUAUUUCUGAAAGCAUGGUUUGACAGGCAGUGCUGUAGCGUUUGAAAAGUAUUUUCAAACAACCAUAGGAAAGCAGACUACAAAAAAAGGAAAGCGAGAGAGCAAGUAUUUUUGUACCAAACCUUCCGAACAGGACAAUCUUACACUGGGUUGGACCACGUCUUUUGUGCUCGACUUCCGACUCGGCGUCCUUAGGAGUGUGCCCCCCCGCCGCCAGCUGCACGGCGAAGGCGUGACUUUGUGCUCCGUGCAGACGCCGAGGCGCGUGGCUCGAGGCGGUGGGGCGCGUGCUGCCCUGGCACGGCCCGCCGGGGAUCGGUGUGCUCCGGCUGUGUCAGCACGGCCUCCGUGUGCACUGACAGUAUUAGGGUUUUCUUCCCAGUCGUACCAAACACCACCAGGCAGGACAAUCAGGAACUUCCUUACGGCAUUUUUUUUUUUACCUGAGGGCUCUGUUACUAGCUCGCUGUGCAAAGCUCCGGCACGGUACAACGCUCGCAUCAGGGACGGGCAGAGAGAGCCCACAUGUGUAGCAAGGUGAGAAUUUGCCUCCUCCUCCUGCCACGGCUGCUUGAAGUUGUUAUGGGCAACGUAAACUGCUGUAUGAGACACCAACCUCUCCGUUCCCCCAGCUGACUGCACGUGCCUGCCGUUGUGCCACGGCGCCGGGCUGCCCCGGGCCUUCAGCGUCCGUGUGUCCGUGCAGGAGCAGAGAGAAGAAGGGAGGCAGCACGCGGGACGGCGAGCCAGCCAGCAAAGAGACUGCUUGGCGUGCUAGCCUCUCCUCCUCCUUGCUCCAGCAGGAAUUUGGAUAAGAAAGAGCAAAGCAAAACAAAACAAGGACUCCGCCAGAUUUCGGUUUCUUGCAAAAGGAGGCGCAAACCCUGUCUCCUCCGACCGCCUGCUCCCCGAGCGGGAUUCCCAGCCUCUCUUCCUCCUUCCUCUGGUUUCGUGGGUGGGCUGCAACACCACGGCUGGGAAUUCGGCUGCUGGAGCCGUCCGGGGUGGGGGCGAGAUGGGGGGGAAAUGGGAAACUGUGCUGCUGGGGCUGUCUGUGAGCGCUGGGGCUGACAGCAGGGACUCGAGACCCAGGCGGCUCCGCGAGGAACGGCGCCCGCGGUCCCGGGAGAAGGACCGGUAACUCUUGUAGCAAACCGUUUCCUGUACUUUGUUCUGGGGAGGAGAGAGGAAAGGAGCUUCCAACGUUGUCUACUCCGCUUUUGGAAAUAUGUUUAAAGGUACUUUUCUAUUGUAAUUUUUUAAAAAUAAAGCCAGUGAUUAUUAUAAGUUA